rnacentral:rRNA from 1 species
GAUGAACGCUGGCGGCGUGCCUAAUACAUGCAAGUCGAGCGAACAGACGAGGAGCUUGCUCCUCUGGCGUUAGCGGCGGACGGGUGAGUAACACGUGGAUAACCUACCUAUAAGACUGGGAUAACUUCGGGAAACCGGAGCUAAUACCGGGUAAUAUAUUGAACCGCAUGGUUCAAUAGUGAAAGACGGUUUUGCUGUCACUUAUAGAUGGAUCCGCGCCGCAUUAGCUAGUUGGUAAGGUAACGGCUUACCAAGGCAACGAUGCGUAGCCGACCUGAGAGGGUGAUCGGCCACACUGGAACUGAGACACGGUCCAGACUCCUACGGGAGGCAGCAGUAGGGAAUCUUCCGCAAUGGGCGAAAGCUUGACGGAGCAACGCCGCGUGAGUGAUGAAGGUCUUCGGAUCGUAAAACUCUGUUAUUAGGGAAGAACAAAUGUGUAAGUAACUAUGCACGUCUUGACGGUACCUAAUCAGAAAGCCACGGCUAACUACGUG